AGAAGUUUUGAAUAAUUCAAACAUUCAUUUUGCGAGGAAAAAACUUUGUAACAUAUCAAAGUACGAAAAUACAUUUUAAUUUCAAUUGAGCACAAAAGUAAUAUAUGUCCUAAGACUGUGUAUGUGUUUUCUGAUAAAAUGACCAUAAAUGAGAUUCUUACAAGAAAAACAAACUACAAAUAAUAAACGGUCGAAAGCAAAAUAGGCUAUAAUUUAAGAUGUUCACGGACGCUGUUGAUGAGAUGCUUAGCUAGCAUGAUGAUGAUCUGGUGAUGAAAAAAAAAUUAAAAGAGAUUUCAAGACUUGAAUUUGCAGCUUUAAUUGCAUAAUGUAAUUAGCAGCUUGAAGAAACAGUUGAUGAGAAGGUAGUUGGCUUGCCCCUGGGAUUAGCCUCUGCAGCUUCACCACUUUGUCUUGCUGCUGCUGAAGAUCGUCAUUUAAAACAUAGCCCAUUCUUGAUCUUCUCCUCCCCCUAAGUCUCCUUGUAUUCUUUGUUGAUUUCAUGAGUACCCUUUCUGCACCUGUCCUUUUUCUGUAACCCAUAAUUUCAAACUUGAUUUUGGUUCAUGCAAACUCAAAGGAACAGCUAGUGUGUAUAUAUGUAGACACAAAAGUAUUAUUAAUGCAGAGUUGGCAAAACAUGUGUUUAAUCUAUGGCGCAUGUAAACUCAUGCAUGUGAAUAGGUGAUGGCUUUGGUUUGACACUUAGGUCGACUCAUAUGUCUGGCCUACUUUAACACCAACAUACUUAGCAACAUCGUUUCUUUUGUGGUUCUGUUAUCUUAACGUAUCUCAUUAAGUUUUGUAUGGCCAACGGUGGGCAAUAUAAAUUUUUUAAAUUUACAAUAACAUGUAACUUUCUAUAGUAAACAUGAUAUAUAUGAUAAUUCAAAAAUUAAAGUAAUUAAUAAAAUAGCAUAGUCAUCGAUCGGAUCACUAAUAGUAUUAGCAUUAUCAGUAUAUAUAUAACUUAAUCAUAUUCAGUUUAGCAAUGUAAAGGAGAUCCUUGAAGCAAGGUAAAGUUGUCUUGGAAUCGUAUGGAAGCAGUCACUAAUGCUUGCAUUAACGUAAAUUUUCAAUGUCUCGCUCCUUGGAGUGCGAUCCUUCCCUGGAUGCUGCAUGAACACAAAAUACCUUAUAUAUGCACCGGACUGCACUUUUUUCAUAUUCAAUUUAGCAUUAUGUUUUGAACUUGCGAGCUAUUACUUGUCUUCUCAUGUUAAUACUGUGGCCAAAUAGGCUUUCAUCAUUCUCUAUCUACAAGUAAAAGAAGUGGAUAAUGAAUAGUACAUCAUUCUCAAAUAGAAGAAAGUGAUGUCAUGUGGGAAACAGAUAAUGUGUGGAAAUAAAUUUGGAAGCAAAGAUAUGUGGUUUGUGGAGAUCAAGUGUUGGCUGCGGCCAAGUGGCAUAUAUUGUGAUGUGGGAAUUUUGCUGGCGGAGACGAGGCACAUGGCUUGACAGCUCUCUCGAACUGAGGAACUCAUGGCGACCACUAGAUUUUGGUUUAUUUUUACCAUCAUAAACUACAACUAAAAUAAAUAAAAAUGUAUUGACAACUUAAGCUUUUAAUAAAAGGGGUUGCACAACAUUUUGAAUUUAAAGUUGAAAAAUAAUAUUAUUUGAAGAUAAAUUUGGGGAAAAAAAGGUUUCGUGAACGCUCAAUUGGUGUUAGACGAAUUGUACGGAAGCUUUCUUAGAUUGUGAAACGUAAGAAUUGUCUAGUAGAAACUGAAAAAUUGGAAAUAAGAUGAAAUUCUUUCGUUUAGACUGAAGGAAGAAGUGGAAAUUUAGUGGAACGCAAAACUGAAUAUUUUCAGUGAUACUAAUUUCCUCCAUCUCUUCUCUACUCUAAAAAGAAUUUAUUCUAUACAGGAACGUAUUCGCACUUUCAUAUGUGGAUCAAUUGUUAACACUUGGAAAUGAUUUUGGGGAGAUCAAUGUUGAUUAGAGUUGUUGGGAGUCUUGGAUCGACGGUAAAAUUGUUUUUGUGUGGUCCAUACAUCAUAUGUUCAAGCAAUAAAAGUCAUCACUAAUAUCUGUAUCAAGGUAGGUUAUCUACAUCACACCUCGUAGAGUGCAGCCCUUACCUGAACCUUGUGUGAACAAGAGAUAUCAUGUUUAUAUAUAUAUAUAUAUAUAUAUAUAUAUAUAUAUUAUUACGAGAGCUUCUAUAUAGUGUCAUUUUUUCAAUUUUUCUUAAUAAUAGGAGGCAGGAAGCCAUUCAUGAACACACGAAGAGAAGCAACAAACCAAUUAACCAACACAUCAAUUGGAUUGGACUUGGAAAUUUGAUCCUAUACAGAGCCAUCUAAAAAAACUCUGUAUGGGUCAUGUUGUCUGUUCCUCUCUUUCUUCUUUUUUCAGCUUUUUUAUUUAGGAAAAAUGGAUAACGUAUAUAAAUUCUAUACACUUUUCUGACUGCUAAAUGCAAAUAGUUUCGGUGGGUUCCCUUAACUAAGACACUGCCUAUGGGUCGCCGACUCAUUCUUCAACGGGCACGCGGUCAGAGCCUAAGCUAGUGAUGCUUUCGGCUACUGGACUUUCGCCAUCUAGGGUGCAGCAUUCGGGCUGCUUCGCCUAGCUGCACGACGCUUGUAUUGCUCUCCCACAACCCCGUUUUCACGGUUUAGGCAGCUCCCAUUUCGCCCGCCGCUACUACGGGAAACACUCGGGUUGCUUCGCUUGGGCGCAGGCUAAAAAUAAAAAAACUCCUUUUCGUUUUUUGUUAAAAUAGCACGGACUAUCUAGUUUUCGGGCUGGUUAUUCAAAAAUAGACAGUGUUUGCCAGAUCAUUGAAAAAUAGCCACUAUUUUACUGCAAAGAGACCGGUCCAGCAUAAUAUACUGGAGUUCGAUACACCUGUAUAUGAACUUUCAGCAUAUUAUGCUGGAGCAGUAUACUUUGUUGUCUCCAAUAUAAUAUACUGGAUAUUGGAGCAUCGGUGCUCCAAUUUCCAGUAUAUUAUAGGGAAACUUACACAAGUGUCUCAAAUAAAUCUCAACUUACCAACCUCUAGUCAUUAGUCAUAGACUUACCAAAACUAGCCAAUAAAAUUAAAAAAACCAAAUAAUAUGGUUCUUUCUAUCAAAGAAUCGCAUGCAAAAAUUACCUUCCAUAUUUAUAAUCGCGAUUAGCAACAUUACAUACAAGACGGAAAGGAAAUUUCAUGGACGGGGUAGCAAAUAAGGUGAUAAAAUACAAAAAUCUAUACAAUAUUUCAAAAAUCGAAACAAAAAGGAACUUUUUCCAUGUGUAUAGUUGAAAUUCAUUGAAAAUAUAUAGAUAAGUCAAUAUACAAAAUUUGAGGAAGAUUGGAGGUGAUUUUAACUGGUUUUGUAUCAAAAUUCUUAAUUAAAUCGAGUUCGAAAAAGUCUUUUGCGACACAUGUAUCAAACAUAUAUCACGCAUGUAUCUCACACACAGGUUUCUAUGGAUAUACAUGUGAUACACAGUUGAUACACAGUUGAUAUAUGUGAUACACAAAUGAUACACAGUGUAAUACACAUAUCAUUUUUUUCAUGUUCAGCUUUUACUUCGAAUUUUCAAUUCAAACCGCAUCAAGACUUCACCAAAUCAUCCAAAGCUGAGAUUCAAGCUCCUUAAGUUGUGCCUAAUAUAUUCUAAUAACACCCACUCAAAACAAAGCAAAAAUUUGAUAAUUUUUUUUGGCUAAUAUUAGUAAUAUGUUAUCAAUUUAUCAAUUUUUGUAAUGAGCUACUUAUAAAUGGACAUAGAUGACAAUUUUCCUAUAUUAUAUUGGAAUACUUUUCCGGAUUAUGAAUAGUAUUUUCGUUCAGAUUUAUCUUUACAUGAAAAAUGGUUAAAUUUCUAUUACUUUUGAAACUGUGGCUAUUUUUAAAUGACCACCUAUUAAAGUAUUAACAGCACACUAACUGAAAUAGGUACUCAUAGUAAAAUUAACGGCAUGGCUAGCCACUUUUCGAUCCGGUAAUUAAAAAAUAGCCAACAUUUACAAAGUCAUUAAAAAUAGUUAUUAUUUGUUGUAGUACUGAAAAUUCUAGCAUAAUAUACAUUUUCGAUCCGGUAGUUAAAAAAUAGCCAACAUUUACAAAGUCAUUAAAAAUAGUUAUUAUUUGUUGUAAUACAGAAAAUUCUAGCAUAAUAUACUGGAGAUUGUUGAAGCACAUGUAUAUGAACUUCCAGCAUAUUAUGCUGGAAUUCCAACACACGAAAAGUUCCAAUAUAAUAUACAUGAGAUUGGAGCAUUUGUGUAUGAACUUUCAGUAUAUUAUGUUGGAACUUCAUCACAUUAUGAAAUUCGAGCGUGUUAUGCUGGAAGUUCAUAUGUAAAACAUUCGAAUUCCAGCAUACUAUAUGCUGGAAUAUUUUUCGAAUUUUGAACAAUAUUUUUGUUCAAAUUUAUCUUUAUACGAAAAGUGACUAAAUUUUUAUUCUUUAAAAUUGUGGUUAUUUUUCAAUUAUUACUUAUAAACCCGACUAUUCUUUAAUGUGACCCAAUAAAAACUCCAUAAAUUCAAGAUUAGUGUUUAGGAGAGGCCAGUAAAAUUGAAGGGGGUAACUAUUUUGUUACAAAGGCAGCAACUCUCCUUUAAUUUUUAAUCGUGAUUAGCAACAUUACAUACAAGACCAGAGGAAAUUCAAGAGGGUUCAUCAACAAGUUAUAUAGGCAGGAGCGCGGAAAGAAGAUCCAGAGGGUAUAAGUUUCAUCAUUUAAAGAAGAAUCAUUAUCAUCUUCUCUAGAGCCACAAGCUUCAACAUUCUUCCUCUUUUAAGAGGACUCAUUCAGAAUUUGGUCUUGUGUUAUGCUAACGGAAAGCCUAGCAGUAGGAAUAGAAGCGGGACAAAUACAAUGAGCAGCAAAUCCUAAGAAUAACGGAAAAGGUUAAAGAAAAAAAUACAUAAGAUGAAGUCAUAGUAAAAAAGAAUAUUUUGGGUUUUUACUUUCUUCCCAAACUUUUGGUAGAGAAAUUGUCAUGAUCUAUGUUAUAAGGGCGACAGUCAAUAUUUUUUCUACCCCAUCAAGAAAGUAAGAAAAUUCACCAAAAAAUAUCGAUGAUUACUAGAACGUAAAAAAAACGCGCAUGAGAAAACUGAGGCCUUGAAAGAAGCAGAAAGGCGAAAAAAAAUACUCACGUGCAAAGUUUCACUUCUCCGGACGAGGUAGCAAAUAAGGUGAUAAAAUACAAAAAUCUAUGCAAUAUUUCAAAAUCUAAACAAAAAAGGAACUUUUUCCAUGUGUAUAGUUGAGAUUCAUUGAAAAUAUAUAGAUAAGUGAAUAUAUAAAAUUUGAGUAAGAUUGGAGGUGAUAUUAACUGGUUUUGUAUCAAAAUUCGUAAUUAAAUGGAGUUCAAAAAAGUCUUUUGCGACACAUGUAUUAAACAUAUAUCACACAUGUAUCUCACACACAUGUAUACAUGGAUAUACAUGUGAUACAGAGUUGAUACAAAUAUGAAAUAUAUAUAUAUAUAUAUAUGUUGAUUUCAUGAGUACCCUUUCUGCACCUGUCCUUUUUCUGUAACCCAUAAUUUCAAACUUGAUUUUGGUUCAUGCAAACUCAAAGGAACAGCUAGUGUGUAUAUAUGUAGACACAAAAGUAUUAUUAAUGCAGAGUUGGCAAAACAUGUGUUUAAUCUAUGGCGCAUGUAAACUCAUGCAUGUGAAUAGGUGAUGGCUUUGGUUUGACACUUAGGUCGACUCAUAUGUCUGGC
rnacentral:lncRNA from 1 species